AGCCACAUACUUGCAAAGUCAUCCUUCCUCUGGAGACCAAGAAGCAGCAGAUUCUUUUCCUGGGAAACAAGUCUAUCAGGCAGACAUCUGUUACUCUUUGCGAUCUGUAUGCCAUAACAGUUUAAAAAACAGAGUUUAAAUGCUUAAAGAAGAAGAAAACAGUUUGCCUGUGUUGCAAAGCAGCAUAUAAACGGUGCUGGAAUUAGCACAAGGGAAACAUUUAUCUUUCCUAGAUAAUCUCAAAACAGGCCUUUUUUUUUGGAUUGUAUAUAAUUAUGUUUAUUGGCAUGGAAAGAUGCUCAUGAUAUAUCACUAAAGGAAAAACAAAAAACAAAAAACAAAACUGGUUGCAAACACAAACUAGGCUUUUUAAAGAAGCAUUGACUCUGCCUCCCUGGCUGGGGCCGGGGCCCUCUGUGUAUCCCAUAGAGGAAAGGGUAGAAUGGGCCAAGACUGGCUGGGUAGUAGCCUUCUUCCUGGGAGAACAGAGACAGAGUCACAUUUUCCAGCAGGAAUGACCAAAGAUUUGCCUGAGCUGGAUAAGCCCAGCCUGGUGUAGUGAUGGAUGGUGGGCUCUGGGGAUCCAAAAGACCUGGGUUCCAGUCCUAGCCCCACUAUGAGUCGUGGUGACCUAGUGCAGUUUCAAUGCUGCUGGAGCUCACUUCUCCACUGACACAGUGGAAGUCACAUCUCCUGCACACAGGGGAGGUGCUCAUGAAAGGGUGGGCUUCUCUCCCUCCAAUCUGUGUUUUUUUUAUUGUUUUUUUUUUUUUUGAGAUGGAGUCUCACUGUGUCUCCCAGGCUGGAGUGCAGUAGCACAAUCUUGGCUCACUGCAACCUCUGCCUGCUAGGUUCAAGCAAUUCUCCUGCCUCAGCCUCCCAAGUAGCUGGGAUUACAGACAUCCACCACCACGCCCGGCUAAUUUUUGUAUUUUUAGUAGAGACGGGGUUUCACCAUGUUGACUAGGCUGGUCUAGAACUCCUGACGUCAAGUGAUCUGCCCGUCUCAGUCUCCUAAAAUGCUGGGAUUACAGGAAUGAGCCACUGCGCCCGGCCUCCAAUCUGUGUUUUUAUGACAAAGGCAUGGAUUGGCCAUGAGCAAUGGGCAGCCCUGGGGUGGCAGGCUGUGAAUGAGGGGGAAGGGGCUGCCUCGAGGGGUUCGGUCCCCUCCUCAGGAGCUAACACACAGCCUGAGACCUGAAGGAUGAGAAGGAGCCGGCCACACCAGGGUCUGGAGGAAGCCACUCUGCGCAUUGGCCGUGGCCCACGCAAAGGCUGCGGGAAGCAACAUCCUGCCUUGCUUCCGGUCGGCUUCAGGCCUGUGAGGCUGGGAAGGGCCAGUCGUGGAGGAUGGAGGGUGAGGUGGGACUGAGCUACAUGUCCCGGGCCUUGGUUAUGAUCUGAAUUUUGAUGUUGAGAACAAGAAAAAGACACAAAAGGGGCUUAAGAAGAGUGAGCAGCAUGACCAGGUUUGUUCUUUUAAAAAACUGGAUACUAGGCCAGACGCGAUGGCUCACACCUGUAAUCCCGGCACUCUAGGAGGCCAAGGCUGGAGGAUCGCUUAGGGUGAGGAGUUCAAGACCAGCCUGGGCAACAUAG
rnacentral:lncRNA from 1 species